rnacentral:rRNA from 1 species
CGUACACGAGUUUGAUCAUGGCUCAGAACGAACGCUGGCGGCAUGCCUAACACAUGCAAGUCGAACGAGGCCUUCGGGUCUAGUGGCGCACGGGUGCGUAACGCGUGGGAAUCUGCCCUUGGGUUCGGAAUAACACAGAGAAAUUUGUGCUAAUACCGGAUGAUGACGAAAGUCCAAAGAUUUAUCGCCCAAGGAUGAGCCCGCGUAGGAUUAGCUAGUUGGUGAGGUAAUGGCUCACCAAGGCGACGAUCCUUAGCUGGUCUGAGAGGAUGAUCAGCCACACUGGGACUGAGACACGGCCCAGACUCCUACGGGAGGCAGCAGUGGGGAAUAUUGGACAAUGGGCGAAAGCCUGAUCCAGCAAUGCCGCGUGAGUGAUGAAGGCCUUAGGGUUGUAAAGCUCUUUUACCCGGGAUGAUAAUGACAGUACCGGGAGAAUAAGCUCCGGCUAACUCCGUG